GAUGUUUAACUCCAAUCACCAUGCAUAUUUUCCAGGGCUCUGUUUGGACUAAGGUUUACCGUAUAUGCAAAAGAGAAAAAAAAUGCUCUCUGGACUCCAACUGCCUUCUGCAGAGGAUGAGUCUUGUUAGACUACAGAGUUUCUCAAAGAAUAAGCUGAAGAUCCCUCUAACAGAAUCAAAUCAUGACUAUUAAAAAUACAUAUUCCUCAGCCAACCCCAAACCUGAUAAACCAGCAUCUGAAAUUUUAACAAGAUUUGCAGAUGGUUCUCAUGGACCCUUAUGAUAACCAUGGGCUGAAAGGGAGCAGUCUCAGGUGGUCCUUUGGUUUAUGAGGGGUACCUUGAUUGGUUUCAGAUGUGCAAUGAUAGGUCUGAAGAAGGGCUUGGGAGUAAGGCUGGAAAGAGCAGAUAUGCUCUAUAUGAUCGAGGAAGAAGAAAAUAAAAUUCUGGGGACAUUACGGUAAAAAGAAAUUUGAAAGGAAAGAUGGAAGAGAAGGAAAAAAGAGCCAUCUUGAUGGCCAGAGGUUGAAUACUGGUAGAACACGCUUUAAGAAAUCUUGAAGGGGAGGGUGGUUGAGAGGGCUUUUCAAGAAUAGGGCCCUCUGCUGUUAAAUCAAAGUUGUUUGUGCUGAAUGAAUAUCUACUUCUGGAAUUCUUUUUGUCUCUCCAGACAUCCAGUAGAAUCCACUACACAUACAGAGGCUUUUAUGAUUGGGUUGAGUUUUUAUUUGCAGAAAUCAAGGCAAGAAGGUGAACUUCAUUUCUGAACCCACACACAGUACAGAAUAGAGACAAUAUCCGGGAAAAAAAAUCAUAAACGACCAAAAAAGGAAAAACAAACAAACAAAACAUUCACAGGAGCAGAAACUUAAGCACAAGGACCCAUGUCCCUGAAAAGUUAUAAAAAUCUUUGGAUUGAGCCUGAGACUAUGUAUGGAAUGGAAGCUUGACCAAUCUACUUAAAUUUUAAGAGCAAAGUGCUCCCAGAUGCCAUGUGGGUUAUAUGAAGUCAUAUGAUCUUUUCCUUCUACUACUCAACAAAACAAACAAAAAACAAAUAAAAUGACCUUCUACAUAUUCAAACUCUUGUGCUUAGGAGAAAUUUGGCUUUGUAUUUGUUUUUAAAAUUUGCUUUAUUAGAAUCUUUUUUCCAAGGCAGUGAUUAUUUCUAACAUCUCUCUUUAGAGGUGUAGUACUUACAGUUAGACACCUUUUUAAGCUGAGGACCACAUAAAAUAAUAGGGUGACAUCUUUUUCAGGGACUAAAUUGAGCCCUGACAACCUACAAAAGGGGACCCACUUCCCACAAAUGAGUAAAGUAUUUUACCCAUGACAGAUGCAGGCCCCCAGCUGCUCCACAAGCAUAUUUAGGCCAAGUCUACUGUUUCCAUUCACUGCCCCUUUAAUUAGAGGUUUCUUAAUUGAUUUUUAAAUAAGAAUUUGGUUAUUAUCUGUGUGGGAAAAAUGAUGCACUUUAUUGUUCAACUACUAAGAUACAUAGUAGUAAUGCUGCUUUUGGUUACAAUUUUUUUUAACAUGAGAAUGGAAUAAACUUCAGAGAAUAUUUGGUAAAGGAGAACUUAAAGCUAAGAAGUUGCAAUUUUUCACCCAGUUUCAAAUUUGUUC
rnacentral:lncRNA from 10 species